AUUGAACGCUGGCGGCAGGCCUAACACAUGCAAGUCGAGCGAGCGGCGGACGGGUGAGUAAUGUCUGGGAAACUGCCUGAUGGAGGGGGAUAACUACUGGAAACGGUAGCUAAUACCGCAUACCAUCAGAUGUGCCCCGAUGGGAUUAGCUAGUUGGUGGGGUAACGGCUCACCUAGGGGACGAUCCCUAGCUGGUCUGAGAGGAUGACCAGCCACACUGGAACUGAGACACGGUCCAGACUCCUACGGGAGGCAGCAGUGGGGAAUAUUGGACAAUGGGCGAAAGCCUGAUGCAGCCAUGCCGCGUGUGUGAAGAAGGCCUUCGGAUUGUAAAGCACUUUAAGCUGGGAGGCGUUACCCACAGAAGAAGCACCGGCUAACUCCGUGCCAGCAGCCGCGGUAAUAC
rnacentral:rRNA from 1 species